AUUGAACGCUGGCGGCAGGCCUAACACCUGCAAGUCGAGCGAGCGGCGGACGGGUGCGUAAUGUCUGGGGAUCUGCCUGAUGGCGGGGGAUAACUAAUGGAAACGGUAGCUAAUACCGCAUACCAUCAGAUGAACCCAUAUGGGAUUAGCUUGUAGGUGAGGUAACGGCUCACCUAGGCGACGAUCCCUAGCUGGUCUGAGAGGAUGAUCAGCAACACUGGGACUGAGACACGGGCCAGACUCCUACGGGAGGCAGCAGUGGGGAAUAUUGCGCAAUGGGGGCAAGCCUGACGCAGCCAUGCCGCGUGAAUGAAGAAGGCCUUCGGGUUGUAAAGUUCUUUCGGUAGCGAGGCGUUAACUACAGAAGAAGCACCGGCUAACUCCGUGCCAGCAGCCGCGGUAAUAC
rnacentral:rRNA from 1 species